AGACCCAGCGCCGAGCCCGCGCCAUGGCGUCCGAGCGGCUCCCUAGCAGGCCCGCCUGUCUGCUCGUGGCCAGCGGCGCCGCCGAAGGGGAAAGCCAUGGAAUUUGUGGAUGUGACCGAGAGCAAUGCACGCUGGGUGCAAGACUUCCGCCUCAAGGCUUACGCCAGCCCCGCCAAGCUCGAGUCCAUCGAUGGUGCCCGGUACCAUGCCCUCCUGAUCCCCAGCUGUCCUGGGGCCCUGACCGACCUGGCCAGCAGUGGCUCCCUGGCCCGUAUCCUGCAGCACUUCCACUCUGAGAGCAAGCCCAUCUGCGCUGUCGGCCACGGUGUCGCCGCCCUGUGCUGUGCCACCAACGAGGACAGAUCCUGGGUGUUCCACGGCUACAGCCUGACAGGGCCCUCUGUGUGUGAGCUCGUCAGGGCCCCCGGCUUCGCCCGCCUGCCGCUCGUGGUGGAGGACUUCGUGAAGGAUUCAGGCGCCUGCUUCAGUGGUGAGCCUUGAGGGUGCCCCCUGCACUUACAGAAGAUGGGGUGGGGGGCUUGCCUGCUGCAGCUUGGGGGAGAAGCCUCCUGGGCCCUGGGUUCCAUAGACCCCCAUGGCACUGACUCAGACCCAGACAGGCUGACCCACUGCUGACCCUGGGAGCCCGCCUGGAGUUCCGGGCUCUCAGUGGGUGGGGUGAGCAUUGCCUGAGGCUGGUGCCCUCGGUCUUCCCCAGCAAGUGAGCCUGACGCUGUGCACGUCGUGCUGGACCGCCACCUGGUCACGGGCCAGAAUGCCAGCUCCACUGUCCCGGCCGUGCAGAACCUGCUCUUCCUCUGUGGCAGCCGGUGAGGGUACCAGGGUGGGCACAUUCCUGCCACAUCAGCAGAGCUGCACCUGGUGCUUUUGCCCAAGCCUUGACCACACGUCUGUCCUGCAGGAAAUGAACCUGCUGGGUCGAUGCACCCCCUGAGACAGCCCAGGUGUCUCAGGCUUCAGGGACCCCGCCUCUUCCCUCCUGACAAGGGCCCUGGAUGGCAGCCUGGUCUGGCCCUAAUGGGAUUGUUGGAGGCCUCCUGGAAUCAGCUCUGAGCGGGUGUCGGCUCUCCUGGAGGGUCCAAGCCCCCAUCCCCCUGCAUGUUCUCUGGUAGGAGGCAGAGAAAAGACCCCACGUGCCCGGAGAGCUGUGCUAGCUGCUAGGUGGUCCUUGGGAAUUCCAGGCUGGGUUUUCUAGGGAGGACUGGUUGCCAUGUGCGGUCGCUGUUGACUAGACAGA
rnacentral:sRNA from 1 species